ACGAUACAAGGCUGCCUGCAAAUGAGGCUACAUUACGCUAUCAAAGUUCUUUCAGAAAUUAUUUUGGGGACACCCCCUACACCUAGUGUCUGUCCCUGAACAAAAUGGCUACUUAUUGGUGCAGUUACUCUCUUUUUCUUUCUAUUCUUUUUCUCUCCUUCCUUUUUCUUUUUCUUUUCUUUCUUUCCCUUCUCUUCUUUCUUUCCCCCUUUUUCUUCCUUCCCUUUUUUCUUUCUGCCAGCAUAAAAUAUUUUCUGGGACCAUUGGUCCCAUGGUCCGCUAUAUUUUCCACCCCUGCUGUAUUGUUUUUUUUUAAUUGCUUGGACAUGCACUUUAAUUGGG